rnacentral:rRNA from 1 species
UACGUAGGGUGCAGGCGUUAAUCGGAAUUACUGGGCGUAAAGCGUGCGCAGGCGGUUUGCUAAGAGAGAUGUGAAAUCCCCGGGCUUAACCUGGGAACUGCGCUUGUAACUGGCAAGCUUGAGUGUGGCAGAGGGGGGUGGAAUUCCACGUGUAGCAGUGAAAUGCGUAGAGAUGUGGAGGAACACCGAUGGCGAAGGCAGCCCCCUGGGCUAACACUGACGCUCAUGCACGAAAGCGUGGGGAGCAAACAGG